rnacentral:rRNA from 1 species
UACAGGGGGCGCAAACGUUGCUCGGAAUUAUUGGGCGUAAAGCGCGCGUAGGCGGCCACUUAAGUCGGAUGUGAAAGCCCUUGGCUCAACUGAGGAAGUGCACCCGAAACUGAAUGGCUUGAGUACUAAAGAGGGUCGCGGAAUUCCCGGUGUAGAGGUGAAAUUCGUAGAUAUCGGGAGGAACACCGGUGGCGAAGGCGGCGACCUGGGUAGAUACUGACGCUGAGGUGCGAAAGCGUGGGGAGCAAACAGG